rnacentral:sRNA from 1 species
CCCAGAAAAUGUCACUUGCUCUACACCUACACUACAGAAUCAACACCUGUCUCUUACUUGCAGUGUUCAGAAAAUCUUUCCUGAAGCUUCAUGUCGUUUUGUUCUGCUUUCAAAUGGUAAAGAAAUACAUGGCGUUGGCAGUAUUACACACAGCCAUAGGAUUUACCUAGACCACGUCAUGUACUAUGAGGGUCAGUGUUCUUGGGAGAUGAAUACUGGACACUUGACCAGCGGAAAGUACAAGAUUAUCGUGUACGUCCACCCCAAAAAUACGAAGUACACAGAGUUUAAUUACGUCAUUCAGAGAGAGUUUAUUCUCCCCACAGCUAUUUCAACUGAUACAACUCCAGUCCUUACCAGAACAACGACUGAGUCCUACGAACACACAAAUCCUAACGAAGAAGAGCUGCCAGCGUACGCCCUCACACCAGCUGCUCUGUCCAAUUCUGCAGGUCUGUUUGUUUACAGUCAAGUUCAUCUCUUAUGUUUGCUUGCAUGGUUGACGCUAACUGUAAAGUGACCAUCAAGAAACUAUGCAAAGUGUUUACAAAUGUUUCCUCAUAGAUGCUCACUAAGAAUGCUUUUUGACAGAUACGCAACCUGACCGCCUCAAUAUUC